rnacentral:rRNA from 1 species
UACGUAGGGGGCAAGCGUUGUCCGGAUUUAUUGGGCGUAAAGAGCUCGUAGGCGGUUUGUCACGUCGGCUGUGAAAACCCAUCGCUCAACGGUGGGCUUGCAGUCGAUACGGGUUGACUUGAGUACUGCAGGGGAGACUGGAAUUCCUGGUGUAGCGGUGAAAUGCGCAGAUAUCAGGAGGAACACCGGUGGCGAAGGCGGGUCUCUGGGCAGUAACUGACGCUGAGGAGCGAAAGCGUGGGUAGCGAACAGG